rnacentral:rRNA from 1 species
UAGCCGUUCUAAGAGGAUGAUCGGCCACACUGGAACUGGAACACGGUCCAGACUCCUACGGGAGGCAGCAGUGGGGAAUUAUUGCGCAAUGGGCGAAAGCCUGACGCAGCGACGCCGCGUGAGGGAUGAAGGUCUUCGGAUCGUAAACCUCUGUCAGAGGGGAAGAAGUGUGUCUAUUCAAAUAGGGUAGGCAUUUGACGGUACCCUCAAAGGAAGCACCGGCUAACUCCGUGCCAGCAGCCGCGGUAAUACGGAGGGUGCGAGCGUUAAUCGGAAUUACUGGGCGUAAAGCGCACGUAGGUGGUUUUGUAAGUCAGGGGUGAAAUCCCACCGCUCAACGGUGGAACAGCCUUUGAUACUGCAUCACUAGAGUAUCGGAGAGGGUGGCGGAAUUCCAGGUGUAGGAGUGAGAUCCGUAGAUAUCUGGAGGAACACCGGUGGCGAAGGCGGCCACCUGGACGAAAACUGACACUGAGGUGCGAAAGCAUGGGGAGCAAACAGGAUUAGAUACCCUGGUAGUCCAUGCUGUAAACGAUGGGUGCUAGGUGCUGGGGAGAUAAAUUUUCAGUGCCGUAGUUAACGCGUUAAGCACCCCGCCUGGGGAGUACGGUCGCAAGGCUGAAACUCAAAGAAAUUGACGGGGGCCCGCACAAGCGGUGGAGUAUGCGGUUUAAUUCGAUGCAACGCGAAGAACCUUACCCAGGCUUGACAUCCAGGGGACCUCUAGGAAAUUAGAGGGUGCCCUUCGGGGAGCCCUGAGACAGGUGCUGCAUGGCUGUCGUCAGCUCGUGCCGUGAGGUGUUGGGUUAAGUCCCGCAACGAGCGCAACCCUUAUCUUUAGUUGCCAGCGAGUAAAGUUGGGCACUCUAGAGAGACUGCCCCGGUUAACGGGGAGGAAGGUGGGGACGACGUCGAGUCAUCAUGGCCCUUACGCCUGGGGCUACACACGUACUACAAUGGUGCGCACAAAGGGAAGCAAGACCGUGAGGUGGAGCCAAUCCCAAAAAACGCAUCUCAGUCCGGAUUGGAGUCUGCAACUCGACUCCAUGAAGUCGGAAUCGCUAGUAAUUCGAGAUCAGCAUGCUCGGGUGAAUGCGUUCCCGGGCCUUGUACACACCGCCCGUCACACCACGAAAGUUGGUUUUACCCGAAGCCGGCGAGCUAACGAGCAAUCGAGGCAGUCGUCUACGGUAGG